ncrna:Ornithorhynchus anatinus (platypus) microRNA oan-mir-1421d precursor
CGGUGUCUGGAAGUCGCACGUCAUGCCGUGUGAAGGUGGAAUAUGCAGCAUAGCGUGUGACCCCCGUACACAGC